rnacentral:rRNA from 1 species
ACCGUACUCCUACGGGAGGCAGCAGUGGGGAAUAUUGCACAAUGGGCGAAAGCCUGAUGCAGCAACGCCGCGUGGGGGAUGACGGCCUUCGGGUUGUAAACCUCUUUUAGUAGGGAAGAAGGGCUUCGGCUUGACGGUACCUGCAGAAAAAGCACCGGCUAACUACGUGCCAGCAGCCGCGGUAAUACGUAGGGUGCAAGCGUUGUCCGGAAUUAUUGGGCGUAAAGAGCUCGUAGGCGGUUUGUCGCGUCUGCUGUGAAAACCCGAGGCUCAACCUCGGGCCUGCAGUGGGUACGGGCAGACUAGAGUGCGGUAGGGGAGAAUGGAAUUCUUGGUGUAGCGGUGGAAUGCGCAGAUAUCAGGAGGAACACCGAUGGCGAAGGCAGUUCUCUGGGCCGUUACUGACGCUGAGGAGCGAAAGCGUGGGGAGCGAACAGGAUUAGAUACCCGAGUAGUCCUUGAC